AGUGAACGCUGGCGGCGUGCCUAAUACAUGCAAGUCGAACGGAGUGGCGCACGGGUGAGUAAUAUAUAGCUAAUCUGCCCCUUGCUGGAGGACAACAGUUAGAAAUGACUGCUAAUACUCCAUAGCAAGGGAUGAGACUAUAUCGUAUCAGCUAGUCGGUGGGGUAACGGCCUACCGAGGCUAUGACGCGUAACUGGUUGGAGAGGAUGAUCAGGCAAAUGCGAAGUGAGACACGGUGAAAACUCCUACGGGAGGCAGCGGAAAGGAAUAUGGCGCAAUGGGGGAAAGCGUGACGCAGCAAAGCGGCGUGGAGUAUGACACUUUUGGGAGAGUAAACCCCUUGUUUUAGGGAAGCUGUACCUAACGAAUAAGCACAGGCUAACUCCGUGCCAGCCGCCGCGGUAAUAC
rnacentral:rRNA from 1 species